UACGUAGGGGGCAAGCGUUGUCCGGAAUCAUUGGGCGUAAAGAGCGCGUAGGCGGUCCGGUAAGUCCGCUCUGAAAGCCCGGGGCUCAACCCCCGGGAGGCGGGCGGAUACUGUCGGGCUAGAGUCCGGAAGAGGCGAGUGGAAUUCCUGGUGUAGCGGUGAAAUCGCGCAGAUAUCAGGAGGAACACCGAUGGCGAAGGCAGCUCGCUGGGACGGUACUGACGCGUGAG
rnacentral:rRNA from 1 species